GUCUACGGCCAUACCACGUUGAACACACCGGUUCUCGUCCGAUCACCGAAGUGAAACAACGUCGGGCCCGGUCAGUACUUGGAUGGGUGACCGCCUGGGAACCCCGGGUGCUGUAGGCA
rnacentral:rRNA from 1 species